rnacentral:lncRNA from 1 species
GGCGGGUGGGGGAGGGGGUGACUCACAUUUCUUAAGCCUCCGAGUGGAAACCUUUUUUCUGGAUAUAUAUUCCGACCAGAUCUAAAGCGCUAAGAAGAUUUCGGCAGCGUCGGUGCCUUAUCCCACCUUUAUUUACCUGCAGCCCUUGUAACGUGACACUUCCUUUCGCAAAACACCGCGGCAGUUUCCAAACCCCACUCAAGCUUUGUCACGGCCAUGCAUUUUUGACUGAGGGUCGCUUUCCUGCUCGCAGGACAAACACUCUCAUCCCAAAAAGCAGCGCCCCUGCGCCGUGCCGGCCCCUUGAGUCAGGGAAAGGAGAGUUGGAGGAGCCGCCAGCCCGGCCGGAUCGGGGAGCGCCCGGCCACGUCGAGGGAGCUGGGGACAUCCCGGGCAGGUCACAGUGACAAGUCAUUUCCUUCGAGGCGGCCGAGUCCCGCGGUCCCUCGCAGAGGGGUCCUUUGUCUACUGCUGCACCUCCACCCGCCUCUCAGGGGAAACGGGGGAAAGAAAAAAAAAAACCAGCCCUCUUAAUGACGAUGGUGGCAACAGACUGUUUGGGUCCUUGUACCCCCACACACACCUAAACAUUUCCCUUAGUCCCCGCUGAAAGGGGCGGUUUGGAAGUUGUGACAGUCUACAAAAGCCCGCCAGGACCCCCCGGCUCAGGGGCGAGGGCUUCGGGGCUUCCGUGCCCCCCGGCAUCCACGUCGUCCCUGUCGAUUUGCAGGAUUAUUUAUCGCCGACAUCCCGAGGACUGGCGCGAUGCCUCUGAGACUUGCCCCCGAGCGUCAGUCGGUCGGCGGGGCAUAAGGAGGAGAGGGGGGAAGGAGGGGCGGGGGGAAAUUUCUGCAGGUCUUUUUUUUUCCUUUUCUUUUUAAAUAAAGAUUUCUGUGAUGAACGACUAGGAGCCUUUUGAGUUUUCAGCAAAGUUGUGUGUGUGUGCGUAGUGUGGCUUUGUGGGGUUGCUAGACACAGUUAGCAUUUAUUUAUUUAUUUAUCUGUUUAGGUGGUGGGGAGGUUGCUUUUUUUUUUUUUUUCCUUGUGGUAAAUUGUUACAAGUCGCCUGUCUACAGAGCCCACUUUUUCUCUCACGGCCACUCUCGUUUGUUCCCGAGUCCAACGACGACAAGGGGGACUCAAUGCUAAAGGUGGAAAAACCCGGCACCGUAGUUGUUUUUGUUAAAAGGGGACACACUAAGGCUGCGAAACAGCAAAACCCCAAUGUUGGACAGCUGUAAAAUCGUGUAGACAGGUUGUCAUACAGCAGUGGGGGCUUUUCUGAAAGGAGCCCAUUGCUAAACAUUAAAUACACACACAGCACAGCACAGCACAGCAGCUGCGCGGACACACGCACACACACACACACACGCACGCCUGGAGGAAAGUGGCCCGGGCUGAGCUGCGCACCACGUGCUGCACCGGGGG